AUGCGCAGUUUAUCGCGGCAAUCUUCCUGCUUCUCUCCGCUACAAAAUGACAAGCGCCUGAGCCCAGGUCUCAGCACCGCGACACCUCGCAACGGCGACACGGAGAGUCGCUGCAACAAGCGGCAGCGCGGCCGUCACCCCCCGAGGGUGCGUGGGGUGCGCGGGGACGUGGCUGCACGGGAGUACUGGGGUGCGCGGGGGUCCCAGGGUGCACGUGGCAUACUGAGGUGCAUGGGGGCCCGGAGUGCACCUGGGUCCCGGGCUGCAGGUGGGGUCCCGUGGUGCAGGUGGGGUCCCGGGCUGCAGGUGGGGUACUGUGGUGCACGUGGGGUCCCCGGGCUGCAGAUGGGGUCCCGUGGUGCAGGUGGGGUCCCGGGCUGCAGGUGGGGUACUGUGGUGCACGUGGGGUCCCCGGGCUGCAGGUGGGUUCUGGGGUGCGGGGGUGCUGGGACACACGAGGUACGGACGGCGCUCGGGGAUCCCGGGAUGCAGGAGUCUCCUGGGGUCGGGGCUGGUCCCGGGGCUCGUGCGCACGGCGCAAGUCCCAACCCGGGUCGCGAGCCCGGGGGUUCCCGCGCCUCAGCGCCCCGCCCGCCGCGCUCUCCGGCCCAGCGGCGAAAACGCUGGGCACCGACGCUGGGGAAAAAGCGUCGGGCCGCGCGGGCGGGCAAGCGCACUGACCGAAGCCGCCCCGGCGGGCCAGGCGCACCCGCGCACCCAGCCGGAGCCCCAUGGGCCGACACCGGGAAGGUGCCUGAGCGCGGCCGGCGCCCCGCCCCCCUCCGGCCCCCUCCGGCCCCCUCCCGCCGCCGCCGCGCGCACGGGGCGGGGCCUGCUCUGCGGAGUGGGCGGGCCUAUACUGAUAAGUGGGCGGGGCCCCGCGCCGGCGGGGGGAUUAGAGGCCGGCGCCGGCGGGUGGGCGGAGCCUCCAGGCGCGUACGCCGUGCUGGCCACGCCCCCUGCAGGAGCCCCGCCCCCGCGCGCGCCUGCCUGCUCCCCACGCGACGUCGGGCUCCGGGAGGCAAAGGCCGGCGGCCGCGAACCCAGCCGGCUGGAGGGUGGCCUCUGCCGGGGGCUGGCGGCCCAGCCGUUCGGGGUCCCCACCCCCGGGCCGUCCCCCGCCGAGUCCGGCUGGAGCCCUGCCUGUGA
rnacentral:lncRNA from 1 species